GCGCCUGUGGCGGAAUUGGUAGACGCGCAAGGUUGAGGGCCUUGUGGCCCGUUUGGGCCGUGGGAGUUCGAAUCUCCCUGGGCGCA
rnacentral:tRNA from 1 species